rnacentral:rRNA from 1 species
CCUUCGGGGAACUAGUAAAGUGGCGCAAGGGUGAGUAACACGUGAAUAAUCUGCCCUCGAGAUCGGGAUAACAUGGUGAAAACUAUGCUAAUACCGGAUAAGACCACAUUUCAUAAGAAAUGCGGUAAAAGGAGUCUCAAUCUUCACUCGAGGAUGAGUUCGCGCAACAUUAGCUUGUUGGUGAGAUAAAAGCUCACCAAGGCUACGAUGUUUAGCCGGCCUGAGAGGGUGAACGGCCACACUGGAACUGAGACACGGUCCAGACUCCUACGGGAGGCAGCAGUGGGGAAUAUUGCGCAAUGGGCGAAAGCCUGACGCAGCAACGCCGUGUGAGCGAUGAAGGCUUUAGAGUCGUAAAGCUCUGUCAAAUGGGAAGAAUUUUGACGGUACCAUUAGAGGAAGCCCCGGCUAACUCCGUGCCAGCAGCCGCGGUAAUACGGAGGGGGCAAGCGUUGUUCGGAAUUAUUGGGCGUAAAGCGUAUGUAGGCGGCAAAGUAAGUCAGGCGUGCAAGCCCGUGGCUCAACCACGGAAUUGCGUUUGAAACUACUUAGCUUGAGUACAGGAGAGGAAAGCGGAAUUCCCAGUGUAGCGGUGAAAUGCAUUGAUAUUGGGAAGAACAUCUGUGGCGAAGGCGGCUUUCUGGUCUGUUACUGACGCUGAGAUACGAAAGCCAGGGUAGCGAACGGGAUUAGAUACCCCGGUAGUCCUGGCUGUAAACGAUGGGCACUAGGUGCAGGAGGUAUCGAUCCCCUCUGUGCCGUAGCUAAGUCGCAAGGCUGAAACUCAAAGGAAUUGACGGGGGCCCGCACAAGCGGUGGAGCAUGUGGUUUAAUUCGACGCAACGCGAAGAACCUUACCUGAGCUUGACAUGCACGGGCAAGCCAUAGAAAUAUGGCCCCUCUUCGGAGUCCGUGUGCAGGUGCUGCAUGGCUGUCGUCAGCUCGUGUCGUGAGAUGUUGGGUUAAGUCCCGCAACGAGCGCAACCCCUGCCUUUAGUUGCCAUCGGGUCAUGCCGGGAACUCUAAAGGGACUGCCGGUGAUAAACCGGAGGAAGGUGGGGAUGACGUCAAGUCCUCAUGGCCUUUAUGCUCAGGGCUACACACGUGCUACAAUGGCUGGUACAAAGAGUCGCGAGACCGCGAGGUGGAGCUAAUCUCAUAAAACCAGUCUCAGUUCGGAUUGGAGUCUGCAACUCGACUCCAUGAAGCUGGAAUCGCUAGUAAUCGUGAAUCAGCACGCCACGGUGAAUACGUUCCCGGGCCUUGUACACACCGCCCGUCACACCACGAAAGUCGAUUGUACCGGAAGUCAUGAUGCCAACCCGCAAGGGAGGCUGCUGCCUAUGGUAUGGUUGGUGAUCAGGGUGAAGUCGUAACAAGGUAGCCGUAGGGGAACCUGCGGCUG